AGGAAGCAGCCUGCCUCUCAUUCUUCCCAUCUUGAGUUCCUUCUCACCUUCCCCUACUCACCCAGCAGCCUCUGGCAUGUCCAGGAUAGGGAAGAGAAGGCAGAGGAGGCGCAGGCUGCUGUAAUCCGGGCAGGUCGUCCUCUUUGGCUCUUGUCUUGUGGUUCUUCUGUGACGUCCUUCCUGCUGAUACUCUUGUUGCACCCCUUGCAGGGACAUGAACCAGUGAAAGUGGACAUCUUAACCACAAGGCCAAAUGCCAGCCCCAUAAUCUCAUUUUUAAUGCUCACAGUUAGCCGAGGAGUUAGGUAUGUAGUCAGUUUUGCAGAUAAAAAAGCCAGGAUAACAUAGGUAAUAGGGAUUAAAACUCACCUUCAUUCAUGCUAAUGAAUAAGGUAAUUUCAAAAGAAAAAAACUAAAAUGCUAAGGUUAAGGGGGCAAAGAACACAGGAGGCCAUUAAGAAAAUGUCUGUGUACCAAGGAAGCCAGAAAGAUGAGUUUGGGGGAAUUUGUGCCUCUUCAUUUUGACAAGCAGGAGAAAUAUUUGUCUCUGGAGAGUAUGAUCACAGGAGCAGAAAGAAAGUACUAAUUCUAAAGGACUACAUUUAGACAAAAGGGAAAAAUGAUAUGAUGAGCAGAAACUGCACGACGUGUCUUCUGGAACUUUCUGUUCCCACUCACCACUCGUCAAAACUCAGAAAAAAUCUGUAAUCUUUAAAAGUCAGUAGUGGGUUUGAGAUCCCCUGGGAUGAGUUUAGAAGCCUCCAUUGUACUCAGAGAGGGUCUAAAUUUGGAAAUAAACUGAAUCCCACAGAUUCAUUAUACAAUUGGCACGCCAAGGAGAGGAACUGAAAAACUUUCCUUGUCUGAAUUUCUCGCUUCUUUUGAGAAGGAGACUUAACGGGAGAGGCUGACAUUUCAGAGACAUAGCUCAGCUGAGUUUAGAAACUCGGGAGUAGGCGGAUUGGAGAAGCACCUGUAAACACCAUGCAGAUUAGCUGUGGGAAAUGCGUGAGAGUCCCAAGAUGGCAUGAGGAGAAACAAAGAAGAAUGUUCUCCUCCCACCAAGACAAGAAAAAAUGCAGAGCUCCAGGGCGGCAAGGAAUGCUUCAUUCACUCAUCCAUUCAUUCAAGAAAGACUUAUUGAGUUGGGGUGUGUGUUUGAUUUUUGAUUUAUUUCUGUUUGUUUUGCAUCAUGUUUCCUGGUCAGCUUUUUGGAGAGACAGCACGGAGAAGCCUCCAGGAUGGACAGCCUGUAGAUUAUGUUUCCAUUGA
rnacentral:lncRNA from 1 species